rnacentral:rRNA from 1 species
CAGCAGCCGCGGGAAUACGGAGGGGGCUAGCGUUGUUCGGAAUUACUGGGCGUAAAGCGCACGUAGGCGGCUUGGUAAGUUAGAGGUGAAAGCCCGGAGCUCAACUCCGGAAUUGCCUUUAAGACUGCCGAGCUAGUAGGUGAGAGAGGUAAGUGGAAUUCCGAGUGUAGAGGUGAAAUUCGUAGAUAUAUGGAGGAACACCGGUGGCGAAAGCGGCUCUCUGGCCUGUAACUGACGUUGAGGCUCGAAAGCGUGGGGAGCAAACAGGAUUAGAUACCCCAGUAGUCCCUGUCUCUUAUAA